ensembl:lncRNA
UAAAAUUGAUGCAGAGAAGAAAACAGUUUAGUCAAGCAUAAGCUUGGGCUAAUGCCAGCAGUAAGGCGUGUGUCCUAAAGAUUCCACUUCAGGAUCUACUGGGGAGCACCAACUCCCAUCUUGAUCAAUUCAGAAAACUACGAGCUCCUUUUCUCCUCCAGAGAAGAUCAAGAUGAUCCUCCCAUCUCAGGAUCCACUAGAGGUGUCCUUCAGGAGUUCCGCAGGUUGCCUUGGUUUCCUAGAGGAGCUGUCCUGCAAGACUCCUCAGAGGCACAUCCCCAAAG